rnacentral:rRNA from 1 species
AGUGAACGCUGGCGGUAGGCCUAACACAUGCAAGUCGAACGGCAGCACAGUAAGAGCUUUCUCUUACUGGUGGCGAGUGGCGGACGGGUGAGGUAUACAUCGGAAUCUACUUUUUCGUGGGGGAUAACGUAGGGAAACUUACGCUAAUACCGCAUACGACCUACGGGUGAAAUCAGGGGAUCUUCUUACCUUGCGCGAUUGAAUGAGCCGAUGUCGGAUGAGCUAGUUGGCGGGGUAAAGGCCCACCAAGGCGACGAUCCGUAGCUGGUCUGCGAGGAUGAUCAGCCACACUGGAACUGAGAGACGGUCUAGAACACUACGGGAGGCAGCAGUGGGGAAUAUUGGAGAAGGGGAGCAAGCCUGAUCAAGCCAUACCGCGUGGGUGAAGAAGGCCUUCGGGUUGUAAAGCCCUUUUGUUGGGAAAGAAAAGCAGCAGGUUAAUACCCCGCUGUUCUGACGGUACCAAAAGAAUAAGCACCGGCUAACUUCGUG